AUUAAUUGUUCAUUAGCAAAUCCAGCCGAAGAGAGCCCCGGCACAUCGAUUUCUUCUAGUUUAAACCCUACUCCCAAGCGUCAACGCAACAAAUCCAGAAUCUUUCGGAAACCGGUUGCCCUAAUUCCGGCGACGAGUACUUGAUGAUCAGCGACAUCGAGAAGAUGAUCGGGGUUGGCCUGGUAUGGGGUUCCACCAACUCCCUCAUGAGGCGCGGAGCACUGCUCUGGGAACAGAAGCUCCAAUCCGCAACGCCUCCUUCAGCCGAUCGCCGGGGAGUUAUCGGCCAUCUCCUGAAGUGGCUCGAUCUUCUCUUUUUGUGGCAAUACUCCGUACCUUUCCUCGUUAACCUCUCUGCAUCUGCCGCCUUCUUCUACAUCCUCGGCGAUUCUCCCCUCUCCGUAGCAGUUCCCGUCACGAACGCCACCACUUUCGCUGCCACUGCCGUCUCUGCGAUGCUCCUGGGCGAGGAGAUGCGGGUCCGGUAUGCUCUUCUCGGCAUUGCUCUGAUUGUCUUUGGUGUUUGGAUAUGUAUCACGUCGUAGAUUCUGGUAAAGGAGCUCCAGUGGGAUGGCAGAGAGCACAUCGCUAACCUUGAGAUCAGAGAGGUAACGGCUGACCUGAAGUUACGUGAAUGGAUUGUAGAGUUGGAGGUGAUGUUGCAGGCACUGACAUUCAACGGAAAUUGGAGGCGACAAAGACGGAGUUGGUGGUACUUUGGCGUUGCCUGAAGUCAAAUAGUUUGGAUAGUUUCUGUCUAGCGGCCUAUCUAUCAUUCGAGGGCGGUAUUAGUCUCUGAGAAUUUUGUUUGUGAGGGCCCUUCAUCUAGAAUGGCCUCCGCGCUCUCAUGAAUGAACUUCCUGUUGCGCACAAACGUUACCUGAAACUUUUGAGGAUCCUUGACUUCUGCUGGUAUGGUACAUGAUGACAUGUAUUCUUUUAUUGCAUCGAUCCAGCUAGCAGCUGAUUCCGCUUCGAGACUCGUGACUUUUGCUUCCUCAAUCGCAGGUGCUUUUAGGUGAUGAACCAUCUAUUAUAGAUCUCUUCUCAUUUAAAGAGGAGGUCGAUGAGCUAUUUUUCCUCUCAUGCAAUAUGUUCGAUUUCGAAGUGUUUGAGCUUGCUUAUCUCUAAUUUGGCAUUUUUCAGAAAUUUUUGCAGGACAUCAUCUCGCACCUUGAAUAAUAUGUUAUUUGAUUUACUACCAGAUGCGGGUUAGAUAUAACUAGGAGAUGAGUUACUCUGAUUUCGAGUGAGAAUCUCUAUCCAACAACCAAUGCUUCAUAUUAUACUUAAUUGUUAGUUGCGUCGAAGUUGAUCUGGAUUGAAUGACACAAAGUGAAUUCAGAAUGGCUGCAUAAGACGAUGUUUACUCCUUUCCUUAGGUUUCUAAAGGCGUCGUUUAUGUAUCGUGCUUAGAGCUUGUCUC